AGAGUUUGAUCAUGGCUCAGAACGUACGCUGGCGGCACGCCUAACACAUGCAAGUCGAACGAAGUAGCAAUACUUAGUGGCAGACGGGUGAGUAACAUGUAGGUAUCUGCCCUUUGGCCUGGAAUAACACGAGGAAACUUGUGCUAAUACCGGAUAAGUCUUUACGGAGAAAGCUUUAUGCACCAUUGGAUGAGCCUGCACUUGAUUAGUUUGUUGGUGGGGUAAUGNCCUACCAAGACUGUGAUCAAUAGCUGAUUUGAGAGGAUGAUCAGCCACAUUGGGACUGAGACACGGCCCAAACUCCUACGGGAGGCAGCAGUGGGGAAUCUUGCACAAUGGAGGAAACUCUGAUGCAGCGAUGCCGCGUGAGUGAAGAAGGCCCUUGG
rnacentral:rRNA from 1 species